rnacentral:rRNA from 1 species
GAGUUUGAUCGUGGCUCAGGAUGAACGCUGGCGGCGUGCCUAACACAUGCAAGUCGAGCGGAGUUCUUAAGGAAUGCGGCUCCGGCCAAAUGACUUUUGAACUUAGUGGCGGACGGGUGAGUAACGCGUGAGCAACCUGCCUUUCAGAGGGGGAUAACAUUUGGAAACAGAUGCUAAUACCGCAUAAGAUUACAGUACCGCAUGAUACAGUGAUCAAAGGAGCAAUCCGCUGGAAGAUGGCUCGCGUCCGAUUAGAUAGUUGGUGAGGUAACGGCUCACCAAGUCGACGAUCGGUAGCCGGACUGAGAGGUUGAACGGCCACAUUGGGACGUGAGACACGGCCCAGACUCCUACGGGAGGCAGCA